GUGGGGAAUUUUGGACAAUGGGCGCAAGCCUGAUCCAGCCAUGCCGCGUGAGUGAAGAAGGCCUUCGGGUUGUAAAGCUCUUUCGGCCGGGAAGAAAUCGGCGACUCUAACAUAGUCGCUGGAUGACGGUACCGGACUAAGAAGCACCGGCUAACUACGUGCCAGCAGCCGCGGUAAUACGUAGGGUGCGAGCGUUAAUCGGAAUUACUGGGCGUAAAGCGUGCGCAGGCGGUUUUGUAAGACAGAUGUGAAAUCCCCGGGCUUAACCUGGGAACUGCGUUUGUGACUGCAAGGCUAGAGUACGGCAGAGGGGGGUGGAAUUCCUGGUGUAGCAGUGAAAUGCGUAGAUAUCAGGAGGAACACCGAUGGCGAAGGCAGCCCCCUGGGCCUGUACUGACGCUCAUGCACGAAAGCGUGGGGAUCAAACAGGAUUAGAUACCCGAGUAGUCC
rnacentral:rRNA from 1 species